UUUUUAGUAUAAGUAUAUCCCAUGCAAUUUUGGGGACGUACUUAUACUAAAA
rnacentral:pre_miRNA from 1 species